GCAAGGUUGUGAACAGUCUUAUGGAGAUGAUCACAUGGGGAGGAAAGCAAGCCUCUUGCAGUCCUCCUGAGCCUGGAAGAAGAUCCUUUAGUCCCAGAGCCCUGACUGAUAGACUCCUCACCUUAACUGUGAUAUAAAAUGCAAAGUACAAAUUUCA